GCCAGGUGUGGUGGUGCAUGCCUAUAAUCCUAGCAGCUUGGGAGGCUGAGGCAGGAGAAUGGAGAGUUUAAAGCCAGCCUCAG
rnacentral:sRNA from 1 species